AUUGUAGUUAGUCUUUGUUAAAUUGUCUGUUAUAUGUCAAUAGAUACGUAUGUCACAAAUAAAAGUUUCUUGUAAAUUAUGUUUUUGUAAAGAAUUUUCUCCCAAAUCUCUUACAUGCUAACUGUAACGUGUUAUUUCUGCUAAAACCUGAACUUAAAUGUGUAUAUGGUGUUUAUCUGUUUUUCUCUCUGUUUUAGAUGCUCAUAUCAAUUUGGAAUUCUGCCUCCAAGCCAGAAUUGCAGGAAUGCACCACAUGUUGGCUGUUUCACUGCCCUCUGUGCCCCACUCUCAGCCCUACUGUCAGGGCAAAGAUCGAGGAGCAAAUAAAUGGACACAUCAAAAAUGCUUUGCCUUUCAAAGACAAAAUGAUAUGCCGGUGCACUUUCACUGCCCUGUCUGUAACAUGACAGUCAUACAGCGUGGGGAUAUGGCAAGGCAAUUAUUGUCAUGUCAGCAUUCAGGACUGCUCCCCGCUGCACUCUCCGUGGAGCCCCAUCUCCCUCUCGAUGUCUCCAGCAUAUAAACCAUUUUCUGAAUCUUCAGUAGAACAUUCAUGUGCUCUACCCUCUGUGCUAAAUGACACUGUGGCUUGUGAAAAGUCCUUGAAAAUGAAGUGCCCUCACUGUGGUCUUAGUCUUCUUAAAAAAA